rnacentral:rRNA from 1 species
UACGUAGGGUGCAAGCGUUGUCCGGAAUUAUUGGGCGUAAAGAGCUCGUAGGCGGUUUGUCGCGUCGGCUGUGAAAACCUGGGGCUCAACCCCGGGCCUGCAGCCGAUACGGGCAAACUAGAAUUCGGUAGGGGGAGACUGGAAUUCCUGGUGUAGCGGUGAAAUGCGCAGAUAUCAGGAGGAACACCGGUGGCGAAGGCGGGUCUCUGGGCCGAUAUUGACGCUGAGGAGCGAAAGCGUGGGGAGCAAACAGG